rfam:Oryza barthii chromosome 4, whole genome shotgun sequence.
UUUAAGUGCAACUAUGAGUUUUCACGCCCAACUUUAAUUGUCUGUCUUAUUUGAAAAUUUUUUAUAAUUAGUAUUUUUAUUGUUAUGGGAUGAUAAAGCAUGAAUAAUACUUUACUCGUGACUUAUGUUUUUAUUUUUUAAAAAAAAUUAAAUAAGAUAGACGAUCAAAGUUAGACACGUAAAACCAUAGCUGCACUUAAG